rnacentral:lncRNA from 1 species
UGCCCAGGGCGGGUGAGGACCCUGCACACACACGGUGUGUUUGUGAGCUGUGCAGAGUGGGGUCUCCCUGGCAAUGGCCACAGCCUCCAGGGGCGCUGACACCUCCCGUCUAACUGGUAGACAGUUUCUGCCUCUUCUUGUUUGGGGAUUGGAGAGGGAAGUGCGUCUGGAUGACUACUAAGAUGAGGAGGCUAAGGCCUAGUGCUCCCAGGGGGCUUGGUCAAGAGCAGGAGGCAGAGGUGGUGGAAGGCUGUUUCCCUGCGGGCAGAUGAGCCUCGUCCGAUCAGUUCACAGCUUGAGAGAAAAAGACUGGUCUCCCCAGAAGGACGUCUGCAGCUCUUCCCAGCGUCCCCAGCCUGUCCACCUGCCUCAGUCAGUCAUGGCCUUGCCCUCCUCCACAGUCACGUGAGCCCAUUCCUUAAAACAAAU